rnacentral:rRNA from 1 species
GGGCCCGCACAAGCGGUGGAGCAUGUGGUUUAAUUCGAUGCAACGCGAAGAACCUUACCAGGGCUUGACAUACUGCGAAUCUUUCUGAAAGGAGAGAGUGCCUUCGGGAAUGCAGUGACAGGUGGUGCAUGGCUGUCGUCAGCUCGUGUCGUGAGAUGUUGGGUUAAGUCCCGCAACGAGCGCAACCCACGUCGUUAGUUGCCAGCAUUUAGUUGGGCACUCUAGCGAGACCGCCGGUGAUAAACCGGAGGAAGGUGUGGAUGACGUCAAGUCAUCAUGCCCCUUACAUCCUGGGCUACACACGUACUACAAUGCUACGGACAAAGGGCAGCAAACUCGCGAGAGCUAGCA